CCGUACUAGACGGGGAGGUAGCGGUUCCCUGUAACUUGCAGCCCGCUCUAGCAAGGUGGAAUUCCCGCGAAAGGUCCACGCCUGUGAAGCAGUCUUUGGUGGGCAGCGAUGAGAUUUGGGUCUUACGCAACAGAACACUCCGAACCGUGUCAGAUCCUGACGGAAGCAGCACUAAG
rnacentral:SRP_RNA from 1 species